GAACUGAGGAGAGAGAGAGAGAGAGACCGGUCAAUACUGAGAAGAACCUGCAGUGUCUGCUGGGCUACCACUGGAAAUGACCCUGAACUGCCCAAGUCUCAGGCGAGCCCAACAGGACCAGCAGCAGGGAAGUGAGGAGGCACAGAGGGCUGAGAGACGCGGUGCUCCAUGAAUGAACGCUGGCUGUUUCUGCAACAGUGCUCAGGGGCGUGUGCACCAGGCCGCUGGGCUCCAGGAUGACCAUGGGAGCCCCGUUCUCGUCCAGCCCCACGGGGAGGUACACAUGCGGGGCAGCCCCGGCCAGGACCGGCCCGCUCAGGACAGAGAACCGGC